GGUCAAGCUACUAAGAGCAUAGGGUGAAUGCCUAGGCACCAGAAGGCGAAGAAGGACGUGGUAAGCUGCGAAAAGCUGCGGUGAGGCGCAAACAGCCAUCGACCCGCAGAUGUCCGAAUGGGGGAACCCACCUGAGGUAAAUGCUCAGGUACUGCUACAUGAAUCCAUAGUGUAGCAGGGCGAGACGUGGGGAACUGAAACAUCUAAGUACCCACAGGAAAAGAAAUCAACCGAGAUUCCGUAAGUAGUGGCGAGCGAAAGCGGAAGAGCCCAAACCAAUCUAUAGCAAUAUAGGUUGGGGUUGCGGACUGGCGAAAUGAUUCUCUGAGCUUAGCAGAAGUAACCAGGAAAGGUUACACCAUAGAGGGUAAAAGUCCCGUAUGCGAAAAGUGAGGAGACAGGCCAGGAUCCAGAGUACCACGAGGCACGUGAAACCUUGUGGGAAGCAGGGGGGACCACCCUCCAAGGCUAAAUACUAACUGGUGACCGAUAGUGGAGAAGUACCGUGAGGGAAAGGUGAAAAGAACCCCGGGAGGGGAGUGAAAGAGAACCUGAAACCCUAUGUUUACAAGCAGUUGGAGAGCGUUAAGGCUCGACAGCGUACUUUUUGUAGAACGGUCCGGCGAGUUAUUGUAUGUGGCGAGGUUAAGUACUGAAGGUACGGAGCCGAAGGGAAACCGAGUCUGAAGAGGGCGUAAAGUCGCAUGCAAUAGACCCGAAACCGGGUGACCUAUCCAUGGACAGGUUGAAGCGAGAGUAAAGUCUCGUGGAGGACCGAACUCAUAACCGUUGAAAAGGUUUGGGAUGAGCUGUGGAUAGCGGAGAAAUUCCAAUCGAACUCGGAGAUAGCUGGUUCUCCCCGAAAUAGCUUUAGGGCUAGCCUCAAGUAUGUCUAACGGAGGUAAAGCACUGAAUGGGCUAGGGGCCUUACCGGGUUACCGAACCCUAUCAAACUCUGAAUGCCGUAUAGAUUUAGCUUGGGAGUCAGACUACGAGAGAUAAGUUCCGUAGUCGAGAGGGAAACAGCCCAGACCAUCAGCUAAGGUCCCAAAAUCACAGUUAAGUGGGAAAGGAUGUGGGUUUGCUAAGACAACUAGGAUGUUGGCUUAGAAGCAGCCAUUCAUUCAAAGAGUGCGUAAUAGCUCACUAGUCGAGUGAACCUGCGCCGAAAAUGUCCGGGGCUCAAACUGUGUACCGAAGCUGUGGCUUGCUGGAGGUUAGAAGUGAGAAGUUAGAGGUUAGAAGAGUGAGAGGAGUAUCAUGAUGAUAAAAUCGUAUAAAGAUUUGGAAGUAUAUAAAGAGUCAUACUCCUUAACAAUAACUAUAAUGAAGAUGACGCUCAAAUAUCCUGAGCAUGAAAGGUAUGAGUUGGUAAGCCAGAUAAGGCGAGCUGCGAUAUCAAUACCGUUAAAUAUAGCAGAAGGAUAUGGGCGAAAGGAAUCUGUAUCAGAUUUUAAAAGAUUUCUAAAAAUGACAUUAGGUUCGUGUAAUGAAGUUGUGGUGUUAUUGGAUAUGAGCAAAGACUUAGAAUACAUCACAAAUGAAGAACACAAAGAAUUAGUGGAAAGAUAUGAUGUUUUAGGAAAGAGGAUAAAUACACUGAUACAGAGAUGGGAAUAAUCUAACGUCUAACAUCUGACUUCUAACUUCUAGCAGGGGUAGGGGAGCUUACUAUGGUAGGUAGAAGCAUGACCGGAAGGACAUGUGGACGAGAUAGUAGUGAGAAUGCCGGAAUAAGUAGCGAGAGUGAAGUGAGAAUCUUUACCGUCGAAAAUCUAAGGUUUCCUGGGGAAGGUUCGUCCGCCCAGGGUAAGUCGGGACCUAAGCUGAGGCCGAAAGGCGUAGGCGAUGGGGAACAGGUUGAAAUUCCUGUACUACCGCUGCUCGUUUGAGAGAAGUGGGGACGCAGGGGGAUAGGUCAAGCGAGUGACUGGAAGAGCUCGUCCAAGCGGCAAGUAGAGUCCGGUAGGCAAAUCCGCCGGAUGAUUAUGAGCCGUGACGGGGAGGGAAAAUAUAGUACCGAAGUGACCGAUUUCGCACUGACGAGAAAAGCCACUAUCGAGAGUAGAGGUACCCGUACCGCAAACCGACACAGGUAGAUGAGGAGAGAAUCCUAAGACGAGCGGGAGAAGCGUUGUUAAGGAACUCGGCAAAUUGACCCCGUAAGUUCGCGAGAAGGGGUGCCUGUGAGAGCAGGCCGCAGAGAAUAGGCCCAAGCAACUGUUUAUCAAAAACACAGGUCUCUGCUAAAUCGAAAGAUGAAGUAUAGGGGCUGACGCCUGCCCGGUGCUGGAAGGUUACGGGGAUCUGUUAACGGAAGUGAAGCAGUGAACUUAAGCCCCAGUAAACGGCGGCCGUAACUAUAACGGUCCUAAGGUAGCGAAAUUCCUUGUCGGGUAAGUUCCGACCCGCACGAAUGGCGUAAUGAUUUGGGCACUGUCUCAACAACGUACCCGGCGAAAUUGUAGUACUUGUGAAGAUGCAAGUUACCCGCGACAAGACGGAAAGACCCCAUGGAGCUUUACUGUAGCCUGAUACUGGGUUUCGGUAUUCUUUGUACAGGAUAGGUGGGAGAUAGGGAAGUGUGGACGCCAGUCUGCAUGGAAUCGCCGUUGGGAUACCACUCUAAGGGUACUGGGACUCUAACCUGAGGCCAUGAGCUGGUCUAGGGACACUGUCAGGUGGGCAGUUUGACUGGGGCGGUCGCCUCCUAAAAGGUAACGGAGGCGUCCAAAGGUUACCUCAGCGCGGUUGGAAAUCGCGCAUCGAGUGCAAAGGCAUAAGGUAGCCUGACUGUGAGACAGACAAGUCGAGCAGGUACGAAAGUAGGGCUUAGUGAUCCGGCGGUAAGAGAGUGGAAUUGCCGUCGCUCAACGGAUAAAAGCUACCCUGGGGAUAACAGGCUGAUCUCCCCCAAGAGUCCACAUCGACGGGGAGGUUUGGCACCUCGAUGUCGGCUCAUCGCAUCCUGGAGCUGAAGUAGGUUCCAAGGGUUUGGCUGUUCGCCAAUUAAAGCGGUACGCGAGCUGGGUUCAGAACGUCGUGAGACAGUUCGGUCCCUAUCUGUCGCGGGCGCAGGAUAUUUGAAGGGAUCUGUCCUUAGUACGAGAGGACCGGGAUGGACGAACCUCUGGUGCACCAGUUGUACUACCAAGUGCACAGCUGGGUAGCCAAGUUCGGACGGGAUAAACGCUGAAAGCAUCUAAGCGUGAAACCCACCCUAAGAUGAGAUAUCCCACCGAAAGGGUAAGACCCCAUGUAGACUACAUGGUUGAUAGGCCAGGGGUGUAAGUACAGUAAUGUAUUUAGCUGACUGGUACUAAUAGGUCGAGGGCUUGACCAA
rfam:[Clostridium] clariflavum DSM 19732 chromosome, complete genome.